GGGACGGGUGAGCAAAGGCCGCUAGAGCCCAGGGUUCCAAGAGGUCUGGGGCGGCGGCAGGCCUCUUGCAGUUACCCUGGUGUUGAGGAAGGCCGGUCGCUGCCUCGCCCAGCCUGCUGCUGAACCCGCUGAUGCCCAGGCCACCCGCCUGCAUCUUGAUCGCCGACUUGAGCUCGUGAUUCUCCCGAAUGAGCCGCACCAGCUUCUUCAGUUCCUCGUUUUCCCGCACCAGCCUCUCAAUCUGAUGCCGAAGCCCCUCAUAAUUGGCCUCACUUAUACCAAAGGGAAAGAAUCUUCAUUAAAGUCC